AGUGGCGAACGGGUGAGUAAUGCAUCGGAACGUACCGUGUAGUGGGGGAUAACGUAGCGAAAGUUACGCUAAUACCGCAUACGCCCUGAGGGGGAAAGUGGGGGACCGCAAGGCCUCACGCUAUAUGAGCGGCCGAUGUCGGAUUAGCUAGUUGGUAGGGUAAAGGCCUACCAAGGCGACGAUCCGUAGCGGGUCUGAGAGGAUGAUCCGCCACACUGGGACUGAGACACGGCCCAGACUCCUACGGGAGGCAGCAGUGGGGAAUUUUGGACAAUGGGCGCAAGCCUGAUCCAGCCAUGCCGCGUGAGUGAAGAAGGCCUUCGGGUUGUAAAGCUCUUUCAGACGGAAAGAAAUCUCUCGGGAUAACACCCUGGGAGGAUGACGGUACCGUAAGAAGAAGCACCGGCUAACUACGUGCCAGCAGCCGCGGUAAUACGUAGGGUGCGAGCGUUAAUCGGAAUUACUGGGCGUAAAGCGUGCGCAGGCGGUGAUGUAAGACAGAUGUGAAAUCCCCGGGCUCAACCUGGGAACUGCGUUUGUGACUGCAUCACUCGAGUACGGCAGAGGGAGGUGGAAUUCCGCGUGUAGCAGUGAAAUGCGUAGAUAUGCGGAGGAACACCGAUGGCGACGCAGCCUCCUGGGCCAGUACUGACGCUCAUGCACGAAAGCGUGG
rnacentral:rRNA from 1 species